rnacentral:rRNA from 1 species
ACCCAGCAACGCCGCGUGGACGAUGAAGGCUUUCGGGUCGUAAAGUCCUUUUGAGGGGGACGAUAAUGACGGUACCCCUCGAAUAAGCCCCGGCUAACUACGUGC